GAUGAACGCUGGCGGCGUGCUUAACACAUGCAAGUCGAACGGAAAGGCUCCUGCUUGCAGGGGUACUCGAGUGGCGAACGGGUGAGUAACACGUGGGUGAUCUGCCCUGCACUUCGGGAUAAGCUUGGGAAACUGGGUCUAAUACCGGAUAGGACCGCAUUUUGGAUGGUGUGGUGGAAAGUUUUUUCGGUGUGGGAUGAGCUCGCGGCCUAUCAGCUUGUUGGUGGGGUAAUGGCCUACCAAGGCGUCGACGGGUAGCCGGCCUGAGAGGGUGUACGGCCACAUGGGGACUGAGAUACGGCCCAGACUCCUACGGGAGGCAGCAGUGGGGAAUAUUGCACAAUGGGCGCAAGCCUGAUGCAGCGACGCCGCGUGGGGGAUGACGGCCUUCGGGUUGUAAACUCCUUUCGCUAGGGACGAAGAGUAAUUGACGGUACCUGGAGAAGAAGCACCGGCUAACUACGU
rnacentral:rRNA from 1 species